GGGGCAGUAACUCAGAUGGUAGAGCAUUCGCUUAGUAUAAGAGAGGUUGUGGGAUCGAUAUCCUACUUCUCCA